rnacentral:tRNA from 1 species
GCGAAGGUGGCGGAAUUGGCAGACGCACUGGAUUUAGGUUCCAGCGCCGCGAGGCCUGUGGGUUCGAGUCCCACCCUUCGCACCA